rnacentral:rRNA from 1 species
UAUUUUAGCCAUGCCACCCUGAACAAGCCUGAUCCCAUCUGAUCUCGGAAGCUAAGCAGGGUCGGUCCUGGUUAGUACUUGGAUGGGAGACCACCUAGGAAGACCAGGUGAUGUAGGCA